rnacentral:rRNA from 1 species
UACGUAGGGCGCAAGCGUUGUCCGGAAUUAUUGGGCGUAAAGAGCUUGUAGGCGGUUUGUCGCGUCUGCUGUGAAAAUCCGGGGCUCAACCCCGGACUUGCAGUGGGUACGGGCAGACUAGAGUGUGGUAGGGGAGACUGGAAUUCCUGGUGUAGCGGUGGAAUGCGCAGAUAUCAGGAGGAACACCGAUGGCGAAGGCAGGUCUCUGGGCCACUACUGACGCUGAGAAGCGAAAGCAUGGGGAGCGAACAGG